AUUCACUUUUACUACCAACCAAUCUUUACCAUUCAGUGAUAACUAGCACUUUAUUUUACAUUUUAAUAUUUUAUGAUGUAUUUAAAAGAGUAGUUAUUGUUGCAAACAUCCAUUAGAAAUUUGAAUUGAUAUCAGUUUUGAAAAAAGGGAAACGGGGAUGUGAAAAAAAAGGGGGGUUAAAUUUUUCUCAUUUCAGAUUUCAUAAAUAAAAAGAAAAUUUCUUCAAACAUUUUUUUGAGAGGAUUAAUAUUCAACAGCAUAGUGAAUUGCUCAAAGGCAAAAAAAAAACUUUAAGUUCAUUAGACCAC
rnacentral:lncRNA from 1 species